GACGAACGCUGGCGGCGUGCUUAACACAUGCAAGUCGAACGGAAAGGCCCUGCUUUUGUGGGGUGCUCGAGUGGCGAACGGGUGAGUAACACGUGAGUAACCUGCCCUUGACUUUGGGAUAACUUCAGGAAACUGGGGCUAAUACCGGAUAGGAGCUCCUGCUGCAUGGUGGGGGUUGGAAAGUUUCGGCGGUUGGGGAUGGACUCGCGGCUUAUCAGCUUGUUGGUGGGGUAGUGGCUUACCAAGGCUUUGACGGGUAGCCGGCCUGAGAGGGUGACCGGCCACAUUGGGACUGAGAUACGGCCCAGACUCCUACGGGAGGCAGCAGUGGGGAAUAUUGCACAAUGGGCGGAAGCCUGAUGCAGCAACGCCGCGUGCGGAAUGACGGCCUUCGGGUUGUAAACCGCUUUCGCCUGUGACGAAGCGUGAGUGACGGUAAUGUGUAAAGAAGCACCGGCUAACUACGUG
rnacentral:rRNA from 1 species